GACGAACGCUGGCGGCGUGCCUAAUACAUGCAAGUCGAACGAGUGGCGGACGGGGGAGGAAUAUCUGGGAAACUGCGUGGUGUAGGGGGAGAACACCGUGAAACGGUAGCUAAUACCUCAUACCAUCAGAUGUGCCCAGAUGUGAUUAGCUAGUAGGUGGGGUAAUGGCUCACCUAGGCGACGAUCCCUAGCUGGUCUGAGAGGAUGACCAGCCACACUGGAACUGCGACACGGUCCAGACUCCUACGGGAGGCAGCAGUGGGGAAUAUUGCACAAUGGGCGCAAGCCUGAUGCAGCCAUGCCGCGUGUGUGAAGAAGGCCUUCGGGUUGUAAAGCACUUUCAGCGGGGAGGCGUUACUCGCAGAAGAAGCACCGGCUAACUCCGUGCCAGCAGCCGCGGUAAUAC
rnacentral:rRNA from 1 species